AUUUGGUGAUAUGGGCAUUUAGUAAGAAAAGCUAUGAACCUUGUCUAAUACUCAUAAAGACUUUCUCCAAUCUCUUGUUGAACACUAUAAAUUUCCUUCCUCAUCCU